rfam:Daphnia magna strain Xinb3 contig06769, whole genome shotgun sequence.
UCCCAUAUUGUCUAGUGGUUAGGAUACCCGGCUCUCACCCGGGAGGCCCGGGUUCAAUUUCCGGUAUGGGAA